GCCCCUCGGGGCCCAACCUCCCACCCGUGUUGCCCGAACCUAUGUUGCCUCGGCGGGCCCCGCGCCCGCCGACGGCCCCCCUGAACGCUGUCUGAAGUUGCAGUCUGAGACCUAUAACGAAAUUAGUUAAAACUUUCAACAACGGAUCUCUUGGUUCCGGCAUCGAUGAAGAACGCAGCGAAAUGCGAUAACUAAUGUGAAUUGCAGAAUUCAGUGAAUCAUCGAGUCUUUGAACGCACAUUGCGCCCUCUGGUAUUCCGGAGGGCAUGCCUGUCCGAGCGUCAUUGCUGCCCUCAAGCCCGGCUUGUGUGUUGGGCCCCGUCCCCCCCGCCGGGGGGACGGGCCCGAAAGGCAGCGGCGGCACCGCGUCCGGUCCUCGAGCGUAUGGGGCUUCGUCACCCGCUCUAGUAGGCCCGGCCGGCGCCAGCCGACCCCCAACCUUUAAUUAUCUCAGGUUGACCUCGGAUCAGGUAGGGAUACCCGCUGAAC
rnacentral:rRNA from 1 species